AACGAACGCUGGCGGCAGGCUUAACACAUGCAAGUCGAGCGCCCCGCAAGGGGAGCGGCAGACGGGUGAGUAACACGUGGGAAUCUACCCAUCCCUACGGAACAACUCCGGGAAACUGGAGCUAAUACCGUAUACGCCCUUCGGGGGAAAGAUUUAUCGGGGAUGGAUGAGCCCGCGUUGGAUUAGCUAGUUGGUGGGGUAAAGGCCUACCAAGGCGACGAUCCAUAGCUGGUCUGAGAGGAUGAUCAGCCACAUUGGGACUGAGACACGGCCCAAACUCCUACGGGAGGCAGCAGUGGGGAAUAUUGGACAAUGGGCGCAAGCCUGAUCCAGCCAUGCCGCGUGAGUGAUGAAGGCCUUAGGGUUGUAAAGCUCUUUCACCGAUGAAGAUAAUGACGGUAGUCGGAGAAGAAGCCCCGGCUAACUUCGUGCCAGCAGCCGCCGUAAGAC
rnacentral:rRNA from 1 species